AAAAUCGUAGAUCUUAAAAACGUAUGUUUUUUUUUAAAAAAAGGCUUUAAAAGAAAAGGCAACACAAAGCUUUUCCAUUAUUCAAGAUGAUACCGGGGAAGGUUUUCCGGUUUAUCCCGGAGGGCUUGUAGCUCAGUUGGUUAGAGCGCGCGCUUGAUAAGCGUGAGGUCGGAGGUUCAAGUCCUCCCAGGCCCACCAAUUUAUGCUCAUUUAUUGCUGCUUGUUGUAAGCCUAUGAAGCUUAAGCGUGAAGCCUCUUUAAUCUUUGUUCGUUGUUGGGGAUUUUAUUUUGUCAUCCCAAGAUUGCCAAAGAUUUUUGUUAGAUUUGAUCAAUUUAAUUUGUCUAAAAGAAAAAUACUUCAA
rnacentral:misc_RNA from 1 species